rnacentral:tRNA from 1 species
UGGGGCAUGGCUCAGGGGUAGAGUGCUUGUCUCCCAUGAGCCAGGCCCUGGGUUCCAUCCCUAGUACCCCAG